AAAAAAAUUGAAAAACAUAUAAGUCCUAACAAUAUAAAAAGUCAGACAAAAAAUUAAAAAAGAAAAAAGUUAAUGCAAAAUAAAAAAAAGUAUGAGAAUUUAAAAAUGCAAAUAAGAAAUGAAAGGAAAUGUGUGGAAAAAAAAGAGAAGCAAGAAAAGACAAAAGAUUUGGAAUAAAAAAUAGAAAAAUAAAAAUUUUUAAAACAACGAAAAAAUUAAAACCAGUAAAAAUGAAAGCAUAUGAAAAAAAAGCAAAAAGAAGGAAAAUUGUGAAGGGAAAAAGUUAUUAAAAAAUUACAAAGUUGAAAAAAAAUAAAUUAAGCGAAAAAAUUAAAUAAAAUACCCAGAAAGGAAAAAUAAAAAUAAACAAAGUAAGAAAAUAAAAAAUUAGCGAAGCAAAAAAAUAUAAAAAGACAAAUGAAUAAAAAUUUCAAAUAUAAAAUGGAAAAAACUUUUAGUUUAGAAUGUAGAAAGAAAAACAAAAAAAAAAAAAACAAAUAGAGGAAAAAGAUAUAAAUAUGAAAGAUGAAAAAUAAAAUAAAAGAAAGUGCACAAAAAAAAG
rnacentral:lncRNA from 1 species